AGGUCUGGGAUAACCACGAGAAAUCGGGGCUAAUACCGGAUGGGUCAUCGGACCGCAUGGUCCGAGGAUGAAAGGCGCUUCGGCGUCGCCUGGGGAUGGCUUUGCGGUGCAUUAGCUAGUUGGUGGGGUAAUGGCCCACCAAGGCGACGAUGCAUAGCCGACCUGAGAGGGUGAUCGGCCACACUGGGACUGAGACACGGCCCAGACUCCUACGGGAGGCAGCAGUAGGGAAUCUUCCACAAUGGACGAAAGUCUGAUGGAGCAACGCCGCGUGAACGAUGAAGGCCUUCGGGUCGUAAAGUUCUGUUGUAAGGGAAGAACAAGUGCCGCAGGCAAUGGCGGCACCUUGACGGUACCUUGCGAGAAAGCCACGGCUAACUACGUGCCAGCAGCCGCGGUAAUACGUAGGUGGCAAGCGUUGUCCGGAAUUAUUGGGCGUAAAGCGCGCGCAGGCGGCCUCUUAAGUCUGAUGUGAAAGCCCCCGGCUCAACCGGGGAGGGCCAUUGGAAACUGGGAGGCUUGAGUAUAGGA
rnacentral:rRNA from 1 species